GGAGCAGGCGGCACUAAGGGUCUGUGGUGAAAGAUCGAAGCUUAACUUCGGUAAGCCAUGGAAACCGUAGAGCUAGAGUGUGUGAGAGGAUCGUGGAAUUCCAUGUGUAGCGGUGAAAUGCGUAGAUAUAUGGAGGAACACCAGUGGCGAAGGCGACGAUCUGGCGCAUAACUGACGCUCAUCCGAAACGCGUGGGGAGCAAAUA
rnacentral:rRNA from 1 species